AGCGUGGCACAGUGGAUUCAGUGUUGGACUAUGACUCUGGAGACCAGGGUUCGAAUCCCGGCUCGGCUG